rnacentral:ncRNA from 1 species
AGGAUAGAGGUGCGGUUGACAAGAAUAGUCAUGGUGCCAAGGUCUAGCAAGGGCCGUUGCCGUGAUGAAAGGGGAAACCGCCGAAAGGGAAAAGCUGCGACCUUCCCUUGGUCACACGGAUAAGAUCCGCUUGACUGUCGCUGAUGCGGAGAGCUAUGU